GUGGGGAAAUCCCAGGUAGAAAUCCUAAGCAACUUUGCUCAAAGCCAGCGGGGUUGAAAGAGAGCCAGGAGCAAAUCUCAGAGCAGCCAAACCCCAGUUCCUCCUGGAAGCCUCCUGUGAGCUUUAUAAAUGACAGAACACGUACUGAGUCCUGAGGUUAUUGUUUGGCUUCCUGAAUCAUCGCUGGGGAUAGCAGUCUGACUUCAAGCAAGCUGGCUUCCUAGGGUGAUUCCCGGAGAUUUGUAGAUAUUCCCACCAGAACCAGUUUGAAGCAACCAACACAGUGUCACUGAAUGAGGAGUUGGAAAGGGAUGCAUAAAUGCAGAACUAGCCCAAGUGCAGACCGGAUGGGAACUCGGGGACUGUUCAACCCGGGCAGGCGAGGUGCUUCCUCCACAGGGUUGCCAGCUCUUGAGCAGGCUUGACUUCCCAAGGCCAUGCUAACAAUUCCAGUGGCUAAGAGGUUCACAGACACUUGCUGAGCACCCACUGGAUACAGGACAUAAUAGCAGAUGCCUCAGCACC